rnacentral:rRNA from 1 species
UACGUAGGGUGCGAGCGUUAAUCGGAAUUACUGGGCGUAAAGCGUGCGUAGACGGCUAUCUAAGUCGGGUGUGAAAGCCCCGGGCUCAACCUGGGAAUUGCAUUCGAGACUGAAUAGCUAGGGUACAGUAGAGGGAAGUGGAAUUUCCGGUGUAGCGGUGAAAUGCGUAGAUAGUCGGAAGGAACAUCAGUGGCGAAAGCGACUUCCUGGACCAGUACCGACGUUCAGGCACGAAAGCGUGGGAGCAAACAGG